rnacentral:rRNA from 1 species
UCCGUAGGUGAACCUGCGGAAGGAUCAUUAAAGAGUAAGGGUCCUCUAGGCCCGACCUCCCAACCCUUUGUUUACCAAACCAAUGUUGCUUCGGCGGGCCCGUCUUAGGACCGCCGGAGGACCGUCGAAACGUCCUCUGGCCCGCGCCCGUCGAUGGCCCUUAUUAUUAAACUCUGAACCAAACGUGUCCUGUCUGAGUGAUUAUUAUCAAAAUUAAAGCAAAAACUUUCAACAACGGAUCUCUUGGUUCUGGCAUCGAUGAAGAACGCAGCGAAAUGCGAUAAGUAAUGCGAAUUGCAGAAUUCCAGUGAGUCAUCGAAUCUUUGAACGCACAUUGCGCCCUUUGGUAUUCCGAAGGGCAUGCCUGUUCGAGCGUCAUUAUCACCCCUCGAGCCCCUGUGGCUUGGCUUUGGACGGUCUGGUUAGGCGGCUGACCCCUCCUAAAGACAAUGACGGCGGCCUCGCAGGACCCCCGGUACACUGAGCUUCUUAACUGAGCACGUAUCGGAUCGAGGGUUCUCGGGGCACGGUCUCCUUUCCCCCCUCCCCUCGGGGCGGUGGGAAAACAAUCUUUCUCAGGUCGACCUCGGAUCAGGUAGGGAUACCCGCUGAACUUAAGCAUAUC